GAAUAACCUAAUUUAGAGCCCGUUAGACGGGGAGGGUUUUGGCAAGCGGCGAGGGAUGCGGCUGGCCGGGAGCGGCCGUGUUGGCAGCGCUCGCUGGAUGCUCGCAUCCUGAGCAAACAAGGCUGGGAGGGUCCUACGGGGAAGAGCCAGCCUCCUGCCUGCCAGGAGCACAAAAUUGGGGCGGUGAUGCCCCGAAAUUUCCCUCUUGGGCUCUCCGUGCUGCGAGGAUGCACCGAGGGUCUCGGCCGUGCCCGGACACCCCGCUUCCAACCGGCUGGCUGUCUCUGCCACGCACGUGCCCCAGGCUCAGGCACAGGAUGGUGACUCUCUCCCUUCAGCAGAGCAGGACAUUGUCACCUUGCUCCUCUCACGUCCGUUCUGGGGACAGCUUUGUGUCCCCAAAGCCAAGACUUUCUUCACCACGUCUCACCUGUCCGUGCAAAGCAAGGGCUGAGCUGCCCUGGCCGUGCCUGGAGCCUGCCUUCGCUGCCCUCCCUGCCUGGAGCCCUGCCAGCGCUUCAGGCUGCCGUAAAAUUACCCCUUUUUCUUUCUUUUUUCCCUAAAAUUUGGGCUGCUUCCCACCAGACCCAGAGCGCCGAGCUCAGUCCGGCGGCCAGGAAAGGGUUUUUAUUUGCUUGGAGCCCGCCCCGGCUGCUGCAGGGGGGUGAGGAUGCAUCUCCCCAGGAGGUACAUCCACCACUGAUCUAUUCUGCAGCUGCAGCUCCUCCGGCACGCUGCGGUUUGGGUUACAAGAGCAAAAAACCCUCCGCUCUUGCCUAAGCCUCGUGUUUCCUCUUUUUGUGCGGGGGCCCAGCCUUGGCCAGGGGCGCACCCCAGCUGCCGCGGGGAAGGGACCCCAGUCUCUGGGGAUGGGGGUACCCAAAAGCUCCCCGAAAUCCCAAGCACAGCACGGCCCGUGCCACCGCAGGGGACGUGUCCUGGUGGGCUGGGAAUGGGUUGGGAGGAGCGGGCGGCUCCCCAAAUGUGCUGCCCAUGUGUUUCCUCAUUUCGCGUUGAAUUUUCGGAUAGCCCGAGCGCUCUGUCCCCAGCCAGCCCCCAAAUCCCUUUGGGCGUGAAACUCUCCCCGGGUCCGCAGCGGUCUUCAAUUUAAGAACAAAUCCUAAAAGCUGUGCCGACUGCUGCGUGCCGGGGGACACCGGGGGGACAUCGAGGGACAUCGGGGGACGGUCCCCCUGCUCCCAGCUCCUCAGGACGAAGGCUGGCGGCAGAGCCCGAGCCAGGAAAAUGUGGCUAAAAGCGUCUUUGCUCGCAGAGGCUGUCAGGGGGAAGACAAAGGCAGGAAGCUGCUCCGCUGCACGAAAGGAGGCUAAUUGCGGGCAUUAGUCACCCAGAGCAUCUGGGGGUCAGCGCCGGAGUGCCGAGGAGGUGACAAAAUGGGUUGGAGAGGGGGUUUGGGGGAGCCCUUAGCUCUGUUUGGGCAUGGAGCAGGGGUGGCUCCAUCUGUGACGGUGCUGCCUGGCAAGCCCCUGGGUCCCAGCUGCAAGGCUGCCGGCAAAAGGAAGGUCCUAGGGACACGUAACUCGUAUGGCAGAAUGAAUUCUGCAGGGGACUCUCGAUUCAGGGUGUAAGCACCCCGCAGCAGUGCCCCAAAGCUGCAUCAGCACGGCCUGGAGCCUGUCUGGGGCCAAAUCCUGCAGGAUGGGGAAAAGAAUAACGAGUGUUUCUCUUUGCGAGGAAAAUGCAGGAGCCCUGGAAACGCAGGGCACGGCCACGCCAACCACAACGACUUUUAUCCUUUUCCUUACCCCACUCCAUCCCCAGAAGCCGCACAUGCUCCCACCCCAGCGAAUAUCGACCUCGAACCCGUCCGGGCUGCCCUGCCUGGCAGCUUGAGCCCUUCUGCCAGGGGUUUGGCCGGAGACGGGACCAAAUGAGGAUGUGGGGGAUCCCUGGGGGCUGUGGCAGAGCCAUCGCUCAGCACCAGGCGCGGGGGGCUCAGCACGCUCAUCCGGCAGCUGCUGGAGCGAAGGCAGCCUUGCACCGGCGCUGGGAGAGAGGAAGGAAGGAAGGAAGGAAGGAGAGCCCCAGAGAUUAAAAUAAAAGCAAACCUUUCUUUA